CCUACGGGUGGCAGCAGUGAGGAAUAUUGGUCAAUGGGCGGGAGCCUGAACCAGCCAAGUAGCGUGAAGGAUGAAUGCCCUACGGGUUGAAAACUUCUUUUAUAAAGGAAUAAGGUGAGGCACGUGUAACUUUUUGUAUGUACUUUAUUAAUAAGGAUCGGCUAACGCCGUGCACGCAGCCGCGGUAAUACGGAGGAUCCGAGCGUUAUCCGGAUUUAUUGGGUUUAAAGGUAGCGUAAGUGGGUUGGUAAGUCAGUUGGGAAAGUUUGCGGCUGAACCGUAAAAUUGCAAUUGAUACUGGCAGCCUUGAGUACAGUUGAGGUAGGUGGAAUUCGGGGUGUAGCGGUGAAAUGCUUAGAUAUCACGAAGAACUCCGAUUGCGAAGGCAGCCUACUAAACUGCCACUGACAUUGAUGCUCGAAAGUGUGGGUAGCAAACAGGAUUAGAUACCCGGGUAGUC
rnacentral:rRNA from 1 species